UGUAGCAGCAGGUCAAGAGGUUAGCUUACUGUGCUAAUAGCAGUGCCGUAAUUAAAAUUAGCCUAAAGUUAACAAACUGGGCGGAAUCAGGAAGAAUAUAGAUAUAACGGGAAGAUGUUAGGUGGCUUGUUGCCAUAGCAGCAUGGCGAGCUGACUCCUGAUCUGCUGCUCAGGGCGGACAUGUUGCCUUUUUGACAGCAGACUCACACUGGUCCAGUACCUUAACUCUGUGUGUGUGUUUGUGUGUGUGUUUGUGAGUGUAUGUGAGCUACGUAACAACAGUGAAGCAGGCCACUUUCUGUAAUGAUCGUUUUUUGACCUGCGCGGUUGAAACACUGAAUUAUUGGUCCUUUAGUCACUUUAACUGAUAAGAUAUUAAAGGGGGCCUGUCAUGCUCUUUUUCAGCUCUAUAUUAUUUCCACUAGAGCAGUUUUACCUGAUUUAAAAGUAAAUUAAUGCCCUUACUGUCCUUUCCCGGCCCUUUUUGGAGCUUCUGGGCUAAUCUGCUUAAAAUGAGCCAUUUUAACCCGUCGCAUUAAGGACAUCCCCAUCCCUGAAAGCCCGCCUUCUUCUUAUCGGUCCACUGAUGGGAGCCUGCAGAGGGGCAGCACCAAAAACAAACUGAAGCCUGAGCUUUGUGUGUACAGGUACAACUUUCACACGUUUUCAUCCCAUUAUUUAAAACUAUGGCCAUGUUUAAAAUAAAUAUCUGGCAUUAAAGUUUAGAAAGGAGUACCAGGAACAUAUUAGGGAAAAAAUGUGUUUGUAUUGUCAGAAUAAAGUUGCAGAAUGAUGUAGGUAUUUCAACAAUAAAGUCAAGAGUUUGAGAAUAAAACUGAAAUAAGAUUUUAAUUUUAAAAAAGUCAAGAUUUUGGAAAUAAGGUCAAAAUUAUGAGGAACAAAGUAAAGCUUAUGAGAGUCAAGAUUUCAAGAAUAAACAAAAAACUAACACAGCAUAAUCGGUCCCCUUUAAGCUUCUGAUGGAUGGAUUCCCAAAUACAAUCAGGAUAAGGCGGAGUUUCUUGUAUUCUUGGUACGUCGUGCUAACACUUUAGCAUGCACCGUGCUGAGUAAUACUUAAAUGUUAAAUUGUUAGCAUCGAUAGAUGGAGGUGUUUUCUUAUCAGUUGAAGAACAAACUUAAAGUCUCAGUGUUUCAGUUUAAUAGUAGCAUGGCUGCAGUCCAGCCGGAGGGGGUUAAACCCACAGAAAUCCUUUGAAUAUGUGUUUGUGGGCGUGGUCAGCUCACGGGAAACGCUUGCUGGACCCGUGACCUCUGUGAGUGCUGCUGUGCACAGUGUUGUACUAUCAGCAGGGUACUGCUGUCAGUAUUCUGGGUCUCCUCCAGUGUCUUCAGUCAUGUAGCAUGUUGAUGUUUCUGCCAGUACCGGGUCUGACUUCCAGGAGGUGCUGCUGCAACAGUUUGCAUGACACGAGCAGAAGCUUCCGGGCCAGAGAGCCGUUUGUGGCUGCGGCAGGCCGAUCGCCAACUGUUUCUUGCAAGCACGUUAUGAUGAUUCCAGCUUUAUUCUUGUAAUAUCAACAGAGGAGGGGCUCAUUACUGCCUCUGUUGGUCGUAAAGCAGAAAACACCUACUGCUGUUAUUUCUGAAAGCUGCAGGUAUAAUAGGUGUUUCUGUGUACGCCACAAGGGGCAGCGCACAGCACCUUUUAUAGCCAAAAACAAACACGGAUUAUAAAAAAUACACCCCAUCGUACUCUUGAUAAUGUUUAUAAGCCACUUUCAUGACAGUUUAAAACAAUAUGAGGCCAUUUUUAAGUAUAUUUUAUCACUUCUCCUACACAGUAUCCAUAACUGGUGUAUUAGCAGUUAAUGACUGAUGAUUAAUGAUGAUUAGCAAGCAUAUUUAGUUACAUAUAAUGGUGUGAUUAUGUUUAUUUUAACUGUUUAUUCACAUAUACAUUGUGCAUUGCAGUGUAUUCUCAGUGUUGGAAAGUAUUUCUUCAUGUAUCAAUAGAGACGCUUCAUAUUAUGUAUUCAUUUAUGUGAUUAUAGCUGAUUAUGGUUAUGAGUAAUUCAUUAAGAGGGGAAAUGAGGUGAUAAAUGCUUGAAAUGUCCUUUAAUCUGUUUAGAACUGCUUCAAAGUGAGUUUGUUAAGGGUUCUGGCUUUAAAGCGGGAGUUUCAUCCUCAGAAACAACUUUUAGUCAUUUCGCUGGCCAGCCGUGGCUGCACUCUGACCUUUCGGGCCUUCGCCAAGAGGCUGUGGUGCCAUUUGUCAUUUCCUGUGACUUCUGAAGGCGUCAGUGUGGUUUAAGAAGAAGAAGAAACAAGUCUGAUGUUUUGGAAAAAAGUUCUUUAGAUCUCUUAAUCGUGUGCGAAUCAACAGAAGCAACUGUGUGAAAACACGAGAAAGGGAGCUAGGCCUUAUUUUCACACAUCUGCAACGAUGCUGCAGACUGAAAAGUAGCUGCAAUUGUUGCUUUGAAGACGCGAAGCCAGGACUGAGUGUUUGGACAGAAACAGACGUGUGUUAAAGUCUUUACACACUUCAUUUAAAGCGCACUGAGGUCUUGACAGCUACAGUAAAUAGGUGCAGAUGGUAACACUUCACUUUAAGUGCCCGUAUUUGGCAUUUAAGAGCAGCAUAUAAACAUUUAAUAGAAGUGGUAUUGCUGUACGGCAGCUGUAAGCAGAUAUGAACAUGUAAAUGUGACUAAAAGAAAAAUCUGACUACAUUUCAUGUGUUUAAGCAUUAAAGUUCACUCUUACAGCUGCAUUACAGUGUGUCACAGACCAUGUGAGGCACAUUUACAUACUUCACUCUGCUUUCCAGUCCUCAAUCUGAUGUGAGGUCAAAGUGACCAUGGCAGCCACAGCCGAAUGCAAACUGGAAUGAGCAGUUCACAAUACGAAGAAAUUAUUUUUAUUUUUUUUUUCUCAGUACUGAUAUAAUUCUGCUUCUUUUUCUCUGUAUGGCAUGAUGACCAGUGAAAUGUAAAAGAAACCAGUUCAACCAGUGAUGUAUCAGCUUUGAAAAAAUAAAGGAAAAAAAAAACCACCCAGUAAGCUGCUGGGAGAUUAAACACUGGUGCUGAAAUGGUCUGAACUGGUUUCUUCCCAGUACGGAAACCCACAGGGGCAGUGAAGCCAAAUGUAAAGUUAAAAACUAAAAAGCCUUAAAUGAAUAAAAGUGGUGCAAUUUUGUAACAGCAACCUGUGAUGUGGAGUCAUUCUGAAUUUCAGCCACUCGUAGAAAUCAAACGGCGCAAAUCACUCGAGCUCUAGUUACCAUCUUCAAAGAUCUGUGUCGACGAUUGAGCUGCAAAACC
ensembl:lncRNA